rnacentral:tRNA from 1 species
GCGAGAGUGGCGGAACUGGUAGACGCGCUGGAUUUAGGAUCCAGUGGGGCAACUCGUGGGGGUUCGACUCCCCCCUCUCGCACCA